rnacentral:rRNA from 1 species
GCCCAAUAGCUAGCCCACCCCAACAAGACCAACACCACCCUACCUAUACCCCCUAAAACACUUCCAACCUAAAACAAACCAUUUUCCCCCCUAAGUAUCGGCGACAGAAAAGGAACAUAAGAGCGAUAGAGAAAGUACCGCAAGGGAAAGCUGAAAGAGAAAUGAAACAACCCAGUAAAGCCCUAAAAAGCAGAGAUUUACCCGCGUACCUUUU